GAACUUUGACCUUGCCUCACAAUGACAGCUGCCAUUUUAAAUACAGAUGCCUGUUGCAAAUUUGAAGCCAAGCUGAAAUCCUCCAACUGUCUGGGGAAAAGUGCUGGAGAAGAGCAGUUAUCAAGUAGGAAAAGAAAAUGAGGUGAGAGGGUUAAGAAGCUAUAUUCCCCACAUGGAUCUUUUCCUUUAGACUGCAUCCUCUGCAGCUUCAGGUUAGCUUCUGGAUUUGUUUCAGCAAAAAUAGCACAUGUGACGCCUGACAAAACGGCACCACCUGCUCCGUGCAUUGAUUAUCCAUGCCGUGCUCUGGAGUAAUUAGCUGUGGCAUCUGAGAGUUAUAACCAAAGCAGGCUCUGGAAAACAGUGCUUUAGGAGCUGAAUCCUCCAGAGCGUGACUGGGGAAAACAAGCAACAUUCAUUUUUCUUGGCACAAGAGGUCUUCAGGAGCAUGUUCCUCCAGUAGGAAUGGGAAUGCCAAAAGUGAAAGCAUUGGUGUGCCUUGUAAAUAUCUAUGCACAAAGGACUUGCUGUUGUUCACUGCUAGCCUGCCAGACAGGAAAAUUACUACAUAUGUGAAACAAUCUCCCCUGAAGACUAUCACAUGAAGGCCUCACUGUUUGAGGCAAUACAACAGAAGCUGCCUUUGCUUUCAUCGGUUGCAGAGACCUCCUGCCAUUCAUGAAUCACAUUUCCCCUCUUUUCUGUCUGCUUGAGAUGCUUUGCUAGCAUUCCAGGAAACAUUUGUUUGCCUUUCCAUCUUUCCUCAACGAGUGAACAUUAAACAGUGAAUAUUUCUAAGCUG